GAUGAACGCUAGCGGGAGGCUUAACACAUGCAAGUCGAGCGGGAUCCCCUUCGGGGGUGAGAGCGGCGCACGGGUGCGUAACGCGUAUGCAACCUGCCUUAUACAGGGGGAUAGCCCAUGGAAACGUGGAUUAAUAUCCCAUAGGAUGAUAGGUCCGCAUGGAUUUAUGAUUAAAACUGAGGUGGUAUAAGAUGGGCAUGCGUCUGAUUAGGUAGUUGGUAGGGUAACGGCCUACCAAGCCGACGAUCAGUAGGGGUUCUGAGAGGAUUACCCCCCCACACUGGUACGUGAGACACGGACCGAGACGUCCUACGGGAGGGCAGC
rnacentral:rRNA from 1 species